rnacentral:rRNA from 1 species
CACCGGAGAGGGAGCCUGAGAAACGGCUACCACAUCCAAGGAUGGCAGCAGGCGCGCAAAUUACCCAAUCCCGACACGGGGAGGUAGUGACAAUAAAUAACAAUACGGGGUUCUUNNNGAUCUCGUAAUUGGAAUGAGUACAAUUUAAAUCUCUUAACGAGGAACAAUUGGAGGGCAAGUCUGGUGCCAGCAGCCGCGGUAAUUCCAGCUCCAAUAGCGUAUAUUAAAGUUGUUGCAGUUAAAAAGCUCGUAGUUGAAUUUCGGGGUUAGUAGGUUGGUCAUGCCUCUGGUAUGUACUGGUCUCACUGAUUCCUCCUUCCUUAUGAACCGUAAUGCCAUUAAUUUGGUGUUGCGGGGAAUUUGGACUGUUACUUUGAAAAAAUUAGAGUGUUUAAAGCAAGCUAACGCUUGAAUACAUUAGCAUGGAAUAAUGAAAUAGGACGUUCGAUCUUAUUUUGUUGGUUUCUAGGAUUGACGUAAUGAUUAAUAGGGAUAGUUGGGGGCAUUAGUAUUCAAUUGUCAGAGGUGAAAUUCUUGGAUUUAUUGAAGACUAACUACUGCGAAAGCAUUUGCCAAGGAUGUUUUCAUUAAUCAAGAACGAAAGUUAGGGGAUCGAAGACGAUCAGAUACCGUCGUAGUCUUAACCAUAAACUAUGCCGACUAGGGAUCGGAUGAUGUUAAUUUUUUAAUGACUCAUUCGGCGCCUUACGGGAAACCAAA